GACGAACGCUGGCGGCGUGCUUAACACAUGCAAGUCGAACGGAAAGGCCCUGCUUUUGUGGGGUGCUCGAGUGGCGAACGGGUGAGUAACACGUGAGUAACCUGCCCUUGACUUUGGGAUAACUUCAGGAAACUGGGGCUAAUACCGGCUAGGAGCUCCUGCUGCAUGGUGGGGGUUGGAAAGUUUCGGCGGUUGGGGAUGGACUCGCGGCUUAUCAGCUUGUUGGUGGGGUAGUGGCUUACCAAGGCUUUGACGGGUAGCCGGCCUGAGAGGGUGACCGGCCACAUUGGGACUGAGAGACGGCCCAGACUCCUACGGGAGGCAGCAGUGGGGAAUAUUGCACAAUGGGCGGAAGCCUGAUGCAGCAACGCCGCGUGCGGGAUGACGGCCUUCGGGUGGUAAACCGCAUUCGCCUGUGACGAAGCGUGAGUGACGGUAAUGGGUAAAGAAGCACCGGCUAACUACGUG
rnacentral:rRNA from 1 species